UACAGAGGGUGCAAGCGUUAAUCGGAAUUACUGGGCGUAAAGCGAGUGUAGGUGGUUGUCGUAGUCAGGCGUGAAAGCCUUGAGCUCAACUCAAGAAAUGCGCUUGAUACUGGGCAGCUAGAGGACCGGAGAGGAUAGUGGAAUUCCCAGUGUAGUGGUGAAAUACGUAGAGAUUGGGAAGAACACCAGUGGCGAAGGCGGCUAUCUGGACGGUUUCUGACACUAAGACUCGAAAGCGUGGGGAGCGAACAGG
rnacentral:rRNA from 1 species